UUUCAUGAAAAAGUACUAAAAAUGGUACUCACACAAGCAAAAGCAUAGAUCGACAUGCAUUGGCAUCACUGAUCAACUUUUUCGUCUUUCUUUUUAUCCCUGUUUCGUUGACAAUCGGAGUUAAAAUUAAUUUUUGUUAGAUAAAAAAAAAUUUCCGCAUUUAACGUUUUUUUUUUUUUUGGGAAAAGAAUUCCUCAAAUCGUGUUUUGCUGUUUUGUGUGCCCGUGCAUUCCACCAACUUGAUCGGCUGCCUCUUAACAGCAUUUUUUGAAUUACUGCAAAACCACCGCUGCACUCGUUUUCUCUUGCUUUGGUUCGCUGCCUGUGUACAUCUUGGUGCCAGCUGCGGAGAGUGGACCAACUUUUCG